CCCUUAGAUGUUCUGGGCCGCACGCGCGCUACACUGAUGCAUUCAACGAGUCUAAAACCUGCUCUGAUAGGGGUGGGUAAUCUUUUGAAUGUGCAUCGUGAUUGGGAUAGAUGAUUGCAAUUUUUCAUCUUCAACGAGGAAUGCCUAGUAAACGCAAGUCAUCAGCUUGCAUUGAUUGCGUCCCUGCCCUUUGUACACACCGCCCGUCGCUCCUACCGAUUGAAUGAUCCGAUGAAUAUCAUGGAUUGAGGAUGCAAGCAGGUUCGCCUGUCUUCAUCUUCGAGAAGUGAAGUAAAUCUUAUCAUUUAGAGGAAGGAGAAGUCGUAACA
rnacentral:rRNA from 1 species